rnacentral:rRNA from 1 species
UACGUAGGGUGCGAGCGUUGUCCGGAAUUAUUGGGCGUAAAGAGCUUGUAGGCGGUUUGUCGCGUCUGCCGUGAAAAUUCGAGGCUCAACCUCGAACUUGCGGUGGGUACGGGCAGACUAGAGUGUGGUAGGGGAGACUGGAAUUCCUGGUGUAGCGGUGAAAUGCGCAGAUAUCAGGAGGAACACCGGUGGCGAAGGCGGGUCUCUGGGCCGAUACUGACGCUGAGGAGCGAAAGCGUGGGGAGCAAACAGG